CAAAGAUUAAGCCAUGCAUGUGUAAGCAUGAAUCAUUUAAUGGUGAAGCCGCGAAUGGCUCAUUACAACAGCCAUAGUUUAUUAGAUUUUUACCUUACUUGGAUAACUGUGGUAAUUCUAGAGCUAAUACACGCAGCAAAGCUUCGACCUUACGGAAGAAGCGCAUUUAUUAGAACAAAACCAAUCGUACUUCGGUACGUCACCUGGUGAAUCUGAAUAACUUCGUCGAUCGCAUGGUCUUAGCACCGGCGACGCAUCUUUCAAGUGUCUGCCUUAUCAACUUUCGAUGGUAGUUUAUGCGCCUACCAUGGUUGUAACGGGUAACGGAGAAUCAGGGUUUGAUUCCGGAGAGGGAGCCUGAGAAAUGGCUACCACAUCCAAGGAA
rnacentral:rRNA from 1 species